rnacentral:lncRNA from 1 species
GCCGUUUCUACAGAGAAAGAUGAAGAAUUCUAGCUGCACCAAGCCUGGAAGAAGACUAAGAGAGAAAGCCUCUGGCCCUUGGACGGGAUGGAGUUCACAAUUUUGUCUAAGAGCAGGAAUGAGGUGGCAGUCGAGGCAUGAAGGCAGGAGGGCCUGAGAAGGGAGGGAGAGUGGAGAAGCAGGGAGGACUGACUCCCACACACCUCCCUGGAAAGGUAAGUUUUUUGCAAAGAGAAGAGUCAGAUGUUCAUAGAAGCUGAGCAUGUAAGGACUGCCCGGUUAUGCCAUGAGCAAUCAUUAUUAUAAUACAAUUGUGCCAUGGACCACGCCAUGCACCUGGCACUGUGCUAGGUAUUUUACGUGCCUUAUUCUGAUUCUCAAAACCAUUCAAGGUAGAUGCUGAUACUUCUAUUUUACCAAAGGAAGGACUUAAGGCCCAGAAGGCUUAAGUAACCUGCCCGAGGACACACAGUUAGUACAUUACAGAGUGGGAAGUUGAAGUCAGGACUAAUUUGCUGCGUUAGUUUUGCACAGGCUAAACUGCUGUAACAAAGAUACCCAAAGAACAGAGUUAAAUAAGAUGGAAGCUUAUUUCUGUCUCACAUAACAGACAGGAGUCAGAGGCCCAGGAAAGAGGAUGGCUCUGCUCCACAAUGUCAUUUCAGAGACCCAAAUUUCUUCCGUCAUGCAGCUCCACGACAUCUGAGGGUUCUGUCCUCACGUGCCUGGUUGAAGCUGGAUCCUUACAAUAUCCAUGUCCUUCAGGGGAAGAGGACUGUCCAAGGCAAAUGGCCUUGUCAUGAAUAAGGUGAUCUUUAAUAAGAUUCCUGUUGCUCACAUUCAUUUGCUCAGACUUAGUCAUAAUUUGACAUCGGUCUGCAAUGCAGGCUGGGGAAUCUAGUCAGAUGGCCAUGUGCCAGAUAAAACCAGAGGGCUCUAGAAUUAAAGGAAAAAGACAUUGAAAGCUUUUGAAAUUUUGGCUACAUGAUAUUGCUUCUGGUUUUACAGAUGAGAAGAACAAGUCCCUGAGAGGUGCUGUGAUAGAGAACAUGGUGUUGAGGCUUGUGACUAUGAGCGGACCCUGGUGAGGCAGAGCUGUGGUUUUCUUUGAGUAAAAUGAUAACCGGGUUUCUGUCAUUCCUGGAAGGGAAGGUUCAAGAGAUUAUCUUGGUAGAAGAUGGCAGAGGGAGACUCAUGUUCUCUGAAUAUUAGCUUAAUUCAGAAUCACCACGGAAAAAGAUGACCUAGGAACCAUUGCCUAUUUAAGCCAGCAAAAGAGAUGUAACCCAAAAUGCUGGGGCUGGCCAGGGAUGAGACUGAGGAUCAUCCACUCCAACUCCUAUUCCUCACCAGGGGAAGCACAGGCUCAGCGAUGUGCUUGGGCUUCUCUUCAGUUCCUGUGUGCCUUCUAUGUCGACUUCAGGCCUCUCUGAGAAGGCAGGCAAGCUGGGGAGGAAGGAACUCCAUCUGCUCAGCCCCAAGGAUCAUUGCCAGCACUU